rnacentral:rRNA from 1 species
GAUGAACGCUAGCGGCAGGCCUAAUACAUGCAAGUCGAACGGGGCAGUUCAGCAAUGAACUGUUCAGUGGCGCACGGGUGCGUAACGCGUAUGCAACCUACCUUAAACUGGGGGAUAGCCCGGGGAAACCCGGAUUAAUACCGCAUAAGAUCACACGAGGGCAUCUGAGAGUGAUUAAAGAUUUAUUGGUUUAAGAUGGGCAUGCGUGCCAUUAGCUAGUUGGCAGGGAAUGGCCUACCAAGGCUACGAUGGCUAGGGGUUCUGAGAGGAUGAUCCCCCACACUGGUACUGAGAUACGGACCAGACUCCUACGGGAGGCANCAGUAGGGAAUAUUGGGCAAUGGACGGAAGUCUGACCCAGCCAUGCCGCGUGCAGGAUGAAGGCCCUAGGGUU